AUUGAACGCUGGCGGCAGGCUUAACACAUGCAAGUCGAGCGGGGAAGGGUAGCUUGCUACCUAACCUAGCGGCGGACGGGUGAGUAAUGCUUAGGAAUCUGCCUAUUAGUGGGGGACAACAUCUCGAAAGGGAUGCUAAUACCGCAUACGUGCUACGGGAGAAAGCAGGGGACCUUCGGGCCUUGCGCUAAUAGAUGAGCCUAAGUCGGAUUAGCUAGUUGGUGGGGUAAAGGCCUACCAAGGCGACGAUCUGUAGCGGGUCUGAGUGGAUGAUCCGCCACACUGGGACUGAGACACGGCCCAGACUCCUACGGGAGGCAGCAGUGGGGAAUAUUGGACAAUGGGGGGAACCCUGAUCCAGCCAUGCCGCGUGUGUGAAGAAGGCCUUUUGGUUGUAAAGCACUUUAAGCGAGGAGGAGGCUACUGGUAUUAAUACUACCGGAUAGUGGACGUUACUCGCAGAAUAAGCACCGGCUAACUCUGUGCCAGCCGCCGCAGUAAUAC
rnacentral:rRNA from 1 species